rnacentral:rRNA from 1 species
UGGGGAAUAUUGGACAAUGGGCGCAAGCCUGAUCCAGCCAUGCCGCGUGUGUGAAGAAGGCCUUUUGGUUGUAAAGCACUUUAAGCGAGGAGGAGGCUACUUGGAUUAAUACUCUAGGAUAGUGGACGUUACUCGCAGAAUAAGCACCGGCUAACUCUGUGCCAGCAGCCGCGGUAAUACAGAGGGUGCGAGCGUUAAUCGGAUUUACUGGGCGUAAAGCGUGCGUAGGCGGCUUCUUAAGUCGGAUGUGAAAUCCCUGAGCUUAACUUAGGAAUUGCAUUCGAUACUGGGAAGCUAGAGUAUGGGAGAGGAUGGUAGAAUGCCAGGUGUAGCGGUGAAAUGCGUAGAGAUCUGGAGGAAUACCGAUGGCGAAGGCAGCCAUCUGGCCUAAUACUGACGCUGAGGUACGAAAGCAUGGGGAGCAAACAGG